UCAGGUUGAAAAUAUCAGGUACAUUUGUACAUGUCCUCAGGUGAUUGCAUUUAACAGUAAAGAUACAAGAAUAAUAAAGAAACCUGGGAAACCUUUCUACCCUGAGUACUCUACAGUGACAGUCAAUUCUCUUGUGGGAUUUGAAACCCUCAAGAGAGGCAGCAGUCUACAUUGGUAAUGAGAGAAGGAGAAAAAAGGAUUAUGAGUCACGAGGAGAGUAGAAUGUAUACAGUAGGGGGGCGGUAUGUCAGAGAAGCUUAAGUCUGAGGGUCUGCAUUCUAGAACCAUUGCUGGGUCAGCUUCUGGAGCUGCUUUCACAUCUUGAGAGGGUUGAACAGUAUCUACCCAGAAGACUAGAAAAUAUAUAUGAAUAACAGUGUUUCCUUCAAGACGCUUAACAAUACAUAUCGGUCAAAAGCAUCUAUUUGAUGAUCAUGUUUGUUCCUUCAUUGACUGAGCCAAAUGAAGCAGCCACAGGAAACCAGUGCAGAGACGAUCAGGAAAUUGUCAAAGAACAGCAAGAAGUAAAGAGCAUCGAUUCCUGGAGCCAAACAGGAUUGCAGGAAAUAGCAAUAGCAAACCAGCAAAAAUUCAUGUUUCAGGGAACCCAUAUUUGAAUUCUCGCCAUUGUUCAAGCUGAAGAUGAUGAACCAUCAUUGCCUGUUUCCCUAUUCAUUAUCCUGUCAACAUCAAGAGCUGUUCCCAGAGAAGCUCUCAAAUUCACCUUUUAUUAAAGGCUACGAAUGAAUGAAAAAAAAAAAAAAAAAAGAAACAUUCCAAAUGGAAUGAGCAUCAUCUAUGCCAAAUAUUAGGUCUAAUAUUUGCUGUAGAAAUUUUACUAGGGAGAAUUUCAAAUCAACACCAACCACUUCUUUCUCUGCUUAAUUUCUUUUCUGUGAUUUAUAGAUCAAAUGUAUACACAUGAGUAUACCAAUGUGUGAAGAAAGUGGGCUUUCCUGAGGUUUACCUUAUGGUACAGGUAAACAUAUAGAGUACUCUGCUCAGAUUUGACUAGGUAAAAAAAUCCCAAACCUCUGUAGGUCAAAAAAUAAACCAAAUUCAAAACUUUAGCAACAGAUUUCCAACCAUAUAUUUUCAGUCAAUA